AGAAUAAUGCCCGAUAGAACAUUAUACCUGGAACGGUUUAUGUUUCAAAUGAUUUAUCGCCGUAGGAUGGGACUGCGGCCUAUCAGUUUGUUGGUGAGGUAAUGGCCCACCAAGACUAUUACAGGUACGGGCUCUGAGAGGAGUAGCCCGGAGAUGGGUACUGAGACACGGACCCAGGCCCUAUGGGGCGCAGCAGGCGAGAAAACUUUGCAAUGUGCGAAAGCACGACAAGGUUAAUCCGAGUGGUUUCUGUUAAAGAAACCUUUUGCUAGUCCUAGAAACACUAGUGAAUAAGGGGUGGGCAAGUUCUGGUGUCAGCCGCCGCGGUAAAACCAGCACCUCAAGUGGUCAGGAUGAUUAUUGGGCCUAAAGCAUCCGUAGCCCGUUUUGUAAGUUUUCGGUUAAAUCCAUACGCUCAACGUAUGGGCUGCCGGGAAUACUGCAUAACUAGGAAGUGGGAGAGGUAGACGGUACUCGGGAGGAAGGGGUAAAAUCCUUUGAUCUCCUGAUGACCACCUGUGGCGAAGGCGGUCUACCAGAACACGUUCGACGGUGAGGGGUGAAAGCUGGGGGAGCAAACCGGAUUAGAUACCCGGGUAGUCCCAGCUGUAAACUAUGCAAACUCAGUGAUGCAUUGGCUUGUGGCCAAUGCAGUGCUGCAGGGAAGCCGUUAAGUUUGCCGCCUGGGAAGUACGUACGCAAGUAUGAAACUUAAAGGAAUUGGCGGGGGAGCACCACAAGGGGUGAAGCCUGCGGUUC
rnacentral:rRNA from 1 species